rnacentral:rRNA from 1 species
UACGUAGGGUGCGAGCGUUGUCCGGAAUUAUUGGGCGUAAAGAGCUCGUGGGCGGUUUGUUGCGUCGGCCGUGAAAACUCAGGGCUUAACUCUGAGCCUGCGGUCGAUACGGGCAGACUUGAGUUCGGUAGGGGAGACUGGAAUUCCUGGUGUAGCGGUGAAAUGCGCAGAUAUCAGGAGGAACACCGGUGGCGAAGGCGGGUCUCUGGGCAGUAACUGACGCUGAGGAGCGAAAGCGUGGGGAGCGAACAGG